rnacentral:rRNA from 1 species
CUACGGGCGGCUGCAGUGAGGAAUAUUGCACAAUGGGGGGAACCCUGAUGCAGCAACGCCGCGUGGAGGAUGACGCAUUUCGGUGUGUAAACUCCUUUUAUAUGUCAAGAAAAUGACGGUAGCAUAUGAAUAAGCACCGGCUAACUCCGUGCCAGCAGCCGCGGUAGUACGGAGGGUGCAAGCGUUACUCGGAAUCACUGGGCGUAAAGGACGCGUAGGCGGGCUUGUAAGUCAGGUGUGAAAUCCUACAGCUUAACUGUAGAACUGCACUUGAAACUACGAGCCUAGAGUAUGGGAGGGGGAGAUGGAAUUAGUGGUGUAGGGGUAAAAUCCGUAGAUAUCACUAGGAAUACCUAAAGCGAAGGCGAUCUCCUGGAACAUAACUGACGCUAAGGCGUGAAAGCGUGGGGAGCAAACAGGAUUAGAUACCCGUGUAGUC